AGAAGCUUGCAGUCGUGCAGUGCACAGGCACUUCUUUCUAGAAGGCGAGAGCAAUGCUCAGUCUACUGACAGGCGAGCCAGCAGACAGACAAGGAGUCUGGACAUAUUCUCGUAGCACUAACAGACGGUAACACCACCAGUGAGUCUUCUGAAGCCCGCUUUCACUUUCCUGGGUGUUAUUGCUUCUGAAUGCACAUUCAACUUGCUCUACUGCUGGCAUUGAAGACCUUCAGAUGCACUCAACCACAGGCUUACUUUUCAACCCUGCGUCAGUCUCAACCCUCAUUCCAAAGCUGUACCCACGGGAGGAGGAUACACAUGUUUUAUUGAUAGAGCUACAGGUGGUUUGAGUUUGAGCUGCUGGUGGAUUGGAUUGGAAGGGUUUUUUUGUUUUGUUUUGUUUUUGGUUUUUUUUGGUUUUUUUUACCUGUGUGGUGGCGUCUUUGGAGCGAGUAUGUUACCUAUUGUUGUGGCAUGUUUGGUAUUCAUCCUGCUGGGCUUGGGGCAGGCUCAGGUUGCCACACAGACACAGGGGCAGAGCCAGAGUCUGGGCCAUGAGCAGGACAGCGCUGCCAGCCCCUGGAGGCAGGUGAUUCAAUGGGAAAACAAUGGCCGGGUGUUUAGCUUGCUGAACAGUGGAGCUGAAUAUGUCCCUGCUGGAGCAGGGGCCCAGGACAGAGGUCCCAGGGUAGUCGUGGCAGAUGCUCGUCUGCGUUCUUCACGUAGACCUCAGGGAGGCAAUGUCCGCCGACAGGCUCCAUCAAGGGGAUCCUCUGACACUGUCCGUGGGCAGGCAAGGCAUCCUUUUGGGUUUGGGCAAGUGCCUGAUAACUGGAGACAAACUGCAGGCAGCACAGGUGGUAGCCAGUUCCAUGUAUCCUCUAGUACUCGCUUUCGGCCAUCCACAGGCUCUUCAUCUUCUUCGUCAUUAUCAUCAUCAUCAUCAUCCUUUUCUUCUUCUUCUUCUUAUAAUAUACCAUCCUACCCACAGUACCCAUUUCCACAAAUUCCAUUCCAACCCAUACCUUAUGACUCUAGUUUUGUGGAAGGACCAGUCAGGAGCUACGAGCCACCUUUUCAACCUGUUGUCGGUGGAGGAUAUGGUGGUGGAGGUCAUAGUGCUGGACGAGGGUAUACUGGAGGAGGGUAUGGGGCGGGUCUGGCCCCCGUGCUCCCAGGCUCUCCCUCUGAUUUUACUGAUGAUGGCUACCGCCACUACCAAUCUUAUGGCUAUGGGCCUAAUCCUGUGAUGCCUGCACAAGCUGCCCAACCACCUUUUACAGAUGGUCUUGACCACAGAUACACUCACAGCCUUUACAACGAAGACUCAGCUCCUGCAGUUCCUGUCCCUGAUGUCAACCAGGCUGCUCCUGUGAUAGUGGACAGGACAGGACCAGCUGGUCAACUGCCGGUCAGGAGCCCUCAGUACGAGCAAUUUCCUCCAUUUGGAAGGCCCCAACCUCCUUUCCUGCAACCCAUUCCUUCAGGCAGAAAUUCUCCAAACUCUGCACUUGAGAACCCAAAUAUGAAUGUCGGGAGUGUGUACCGACCGGAACAGAGAGGUUUGCCUGACCUGGUUCCUGAUCCCAACUAUGUCCAGGCCUCCACAUACAUUCAGAGAGCUCACAUGUAUUCUCUCCGCUGUGCUGCUGAAGAAAAAUGUCUGUCAAGCACUGCCUAUGGCCCUGAGACAACUGACUAUGAUGUAAGGGUCCUGCUGCGAUUCCCACAGAGGGUGAAGAACAAGGGGAAAGCUGACUUCAUGCCUAACAGACCACGUCAUACCUGGGAGUGGCAUAGCUGUCAUCAGCACUACCACAGUAUGGAUGAGUUCAGCCAUUAUGAUUUACUGGAGGUCAGCACUGGCCGUAAAGUGGCAGAGGGGCACAAGGCUAGCUUCUGUCUGGAGGACACCACCUGUGACUUUGGUCACCUGAAGCGCUAUGCUUGUACCGCUCACACUCAGGGUCUGAGUCCAGGCUGCUAUGAUACAUACAAUGCUGACAUUGACUGUCAGUGGAUUGAUAUUACGGACAUCCAGCCUGGAAACUACAUACUAAAGCUCCAGGUCAAUCCCAAGUUCUUGGUGCUGGAAUCAGACUUUACCAACAAUGUGGUCAGGUGUAAUAUACAUUACACGGGACGGUUUGUUACAGCAACCAACUGCAAGAUAGCACAGUCCUGAUCAGGCACUGGAAGGCUGCCAUGCUAGAGUGACCCUGAUUGCUAUUCCAUUGAAAUGAAAACAGGAACAGGAAGCUCAACUGGCAGAAAAGGGUGCUUUCCAGAUAACAAGACUCACAAUAUGUAAGCUAUAUGUUUACAAUGUCUUGCAGUCUCUUCUUCAACUACCAACACUGGUCAGAUGGCACAUAGGUCAUCUAUGUCACCUUUUGAAGAAUGUAUAUACAAAUAUUCCACUGAUGCAUGACUUAAAUGAUGGCAAUUACUUUGUUUGUAACUGAUUGUACUUUGUUUAUCCAGUUUGACCUUUUACUGUAAUAUAUACACUUUUGAUAGUCUGAAUUAUUCAAUUAGUAUGUGUUGUUGGAAAAAACACUACUGCUACAGACUUAGUACUAUAAUGCAGAGCGUCACAAUGACAUCUCUACCUACCUCUCCAACUGAGUGGCCUGUUGUUUCUUGUUCAUUGUUUGGUUUCCAGCGGAACUGCAUUGCACUGUGGCCUCCCAACAUUCUGUUGCAGCACAUAGCUAAAAACCCUCAAAGUUAUUAACUGUAUCAAAGAGGACACAAUGUUAGAUGCAAACAAUCACUGACUAAUUUUUCAAAAGACUUAAAGUUAUAAUCCUUAAAAUUUCAGUCCUGGUUGGUGCAAUACUACACAACAAUCCAUGAGCAGCUACUUUUGCAGAAUUAAAGUAGAUGAGCAACUCGGAUAUACAUUUAGAGUAUAACCAAACAAACUCUUGUUUUCCAAAACAAAAGAAUUAAUUAAUUCUUGCUGAACACAGGGCGAGUAGUUUUUCACAUAAGAGGAAGGCACAGUAACAGGAGUUGGUCACAUUGAUGGAAAGCUGGAGUUGUACAGCUUGUUGCAUGGAGCUCUCCGUUAAAAGCUUAUUCUGCUGGGGCCUUCUUGUUUUAUCAGUCCUUUCAAUAUUUAAAAAGUGAUCUGCUGUCCAAAAUUGCCAUUUUCUUCCUUUGUAGAAGCACUUUUUGACAACGUUGUUAAGGCUUAUUUUGAUGACAAAAAUAUUGUAUUUCCCUGCUUUACCAUACAAGUCAGAACUGGCUGAACAUGUAAAGAGAGUUAACCAUAAUGAUGAUAUGUCUGAGAUAAAAUUACACUGGUUUGUAUGCAUGCAUUGUUUCUUCAUGUGUAGGGAGGAAAUUUAAAUCCAUUGCAGGGCUGGUGGAACCUGCCACUAACAACUGAAACUAUGAUACACAAAGAUAAUUUCUGAAUGUAAAUACAUUAAAUGGUAAUUGACAUGGCAGAGAUGCCAUCGUAAUUACAUUGAAUAAACAUUUAAAAAUUAUCAAAAAGGGGCUUCAAUAUAUGAAAAUCUUAAGAAUUAUGAUUUAUGAAUAAAUAUGUUAUAAAUAUACUAUACAGUAUACUAUAAAUAUUAUUACUGAAGUUAAACUUUUUUUGCAGUAACAAUCUCUUCUCUAUGUAUUGAUCAAAAAUGACAUUGCCGCAAAAUUAGUUUGACACGAUUAAAUUUGGUUGAAUUUUAUAUUUCACUGGUUCCAUUCUACAGUUUCAAAGGUUUUCUUAUAAAAAGAAUGCUUUAAAUGCAAAAUAGGUCUAGUCGUUGGUAUCCAGAAUUGCCCAUAGCACACGUGGCUUUUAUAUUUUACUGUAAAUUGUCAGUUCUUUGAUUUGGUUUUGAUAGCUUUUGAUCAUGCUGUACACUCACUGAAAAGAUGCAACAACGUGUGAUUCUGACAUUGAGUGGAAUGACAGCACAAGCGUAGGUGAUAGUUAUACAGUGUCUUUGACAUGUGGUGAUAAAAUUUGUAUUUUUGUAAGAGUGAACGCCUGUCAAAAAUGCCCAAUACAAUAAAUACAUUUACACAAUUGCUGUGUAUAUGUAAUGGAAUAUGAAUGCUAUGCACCACUCUUAGAACAAUGGGUCACUCUACUUCAUAUGAGCCCACAUCUGCAGGUUUAUAUAGAAUACAUAUUGGUAGAUUCAAAGGAAAUGCUGUAUGACAGGUGUGACAAGUUACUGAGAUCACCUCCUUCAUAAAAGAUUAGGUGUGGUAUGUUUCAUGCAUUAAGGCAUUGGAUGGUUCUGUAUGUGAUUUUGUCAUGCAUGAUUCAGGCUGAGAUGGAAAUCUGAUAUUUACGAGUACAGAAAAAUACACACUGCAUACACAAUGCCUGCAAGCACCAAACAGUGAAUGCAGCAUCUGGGUGAUGGUACCUCUGCGAUGCAUAAAUACAUCAGUCACAUUAGUUUUCAUGUUUAGUCGAGUCUCCACAAUCUGACAGGUUGAGAUGCAUGUAUACAUCCUGAAAAGUAAUCUAAUCAGAGCUUAUUUCAAUCAUUGUCACACACAGUCCAAAGUUUUUUGUUGCCAAUGACAUUUCAUCUGACUUCUUUCACACAACUGAAACCAGUCACAUUAUGCAUGAAGAGUAAUUACGUGGAAGAUA